ACGGGGGGGGCAAGCGUUGUUCGGAAUUACUGGGCGUAAAGGGCGCGUAGGCGGCCUGCUAAGUCGGACGUGAAAUCCCACGGCUCAACCGUGGAACUGCAUCCGAUACUGGUGGGCUUGAAUCCGGGAGAGGGAUGUGGAAUUCCAGGUGUAGCGGUGAAAUGCGUAGAUAUCUGGAGGAACACCGGUGGCGAAGGCGGCAUCCUGGACCGGCAUUGACGCUGAGGCGCGAAAGCCAGGGUAGCAAACGGGA
rnacentral:rRNA from 1 species